ACUAGUGAUUGGGGGGACGGGGCGCAGCAGGCGCGAAAACUUUACAAUGCGGGAAACCGUGAUAAGGGGAUCUCGAGUGCCAGCAUAUAAUGUUGGCUGUCCAGAUGCCUAAAAAGCAUCUGUUAGCAAGGGCCGGGCAAGACCGGUGCCAGCCGCCGCGGUAACACCGGCGGCCCGAGUGGUAACCGCUAUUAUUGGGUCUAAAGGGUCUGUAGCCGGCCAGGUAAGUCCCUUGGGAAAUCUGGCAGCUCAACUGUCAGGCUGCUAGGGGAUACUGUUUGGCUUGGGACCGGGAGAGGUGAGAGGUACCUUGGGGGUAGGGGUGAAAUCUUGUGAUCCCCGGGGGACCACCAGUGGCGAAGGCGUCUCACCAGAACGGGUCCGACGGUAAGGGACGAAAGCUAGGGGCACGAACCGGAUUAGAUACCCGGGUAGUCCUAGCCGUAAACGAUGCUCGCUAGGUGUCAGUCACGGUGCGACCGUGAUUGGUGCCGUAGGGAAGCCGUGAAGCGAGCCACCUGGGAAGUAUGGCCGCAAGGCUGAAACUUAAAGGAAUUGGCGGGGGAGCACUACAACGGGUGGAGCCUGCGGUUUAAUUGGAUUCAACGCCGGAAAUCUCACCGGGGGCGACAGCGAUAUGAAGGUCAGGCUGAAGACCUUACCGGAUUAGCUGAGAGGUGGUGCAUGGCCGUCGUCAGUUCGUACUGUGAAGCAUCCUGUUAAGUCAGGCAACGAGCGAGACCCACGUCCACAGUUGCCAGCAUACCCUCUGGGGUGAUGGGUACACUGUGGAGACCGCCGCUGCUAAAGCGGAGGAAGGAGUGGGCAACGGUAGGUCAGUAUGCCCCGAAUCUCCCGGGCUACACGCGGGCUACAAUGGUUGGUACAAUGGGCAUCUACCCCGAAAGGGGAAGGUAAUCUCUUAAAGCCAAUCGUAGUUCGGAUUGAGGGCUGCAACUCGCCCUCAUGAAGCUGGAAUCCGUAGUAAUCGCGUUUCAACAGAACGCGGUGAAUACGUCCGUUCUCCUUGCACGAAUUCGCCGAAUCCCGCG
rnacentral:rRNA from 1 species